rnacentral:tRNA from 1 species
AGUCAAUGAACUUGAAUAAGUUUAUAUUUUGAAAAUAUAAAAAAGAAACACUAAUUUUCUAUUGACUU